rnacentral:lncRNA from 1 species
CUGAGGGGCUCCCUGUGGCAAAGCCUAGGAGAGUUGCUGGGGAACAGUCUCCCCUGGCCGGGGUCUCUGCCCGCCACCCCCUCCCAGGCUCCCCCCCCACCCGGCGGGCUGCCCGGCGGAGGCGACAGAUUGAGCGAUGAGACGCAUUACGCACUUAAUCCGCCUGAUUGAAUGUUUUGCUUUCGCCCAAAUUGAAACAUUAAACAACCCAAGUCGGUCACCCACAAAUGGACUGCCUCCCCGAACACCCCCAGGAGAGGCCCCGCCUUGGGGGGUAGCACUGGGGUUGGCUCCCCCAGCC